rnacentral:rRNA from 1 species
UACGGGGGUGCGAGCGUUGUCCGGAAUCACUGGGCGUAAAGGGCGCGUAGGUGGUUUGAUAAGGGUGUGGUGAAAGUCCGGGGCUCAACCCCGGAUCUGCCGUGCCGACUGUCAAACUCGAGGACUGUAGAGGCAGACGGAAUUCCGGGUGUAGCGGUGGAAUGCGUAGAGAUCCGGAGGAAGACCGGUGGCGAAGGCGGUCUGCUGGGCAGUUUCUGACACUGAGGCGCGACAGCGUGGGGAGCA